AACGGUGAGUAAUAUAUACGGAACGUACCUUCAGGUGGGGAUAACGUAGCGAAAGUUACGCUAAUACCGCAUAUUCUGUGAGCAGGAAAGCAGGGGAUCGCAAGACCUUGCGCUGAUUGAGCGGCCGAUAUCAGAUUAGCUAGUUGGUGAGGUAAAGGCUCACCAAGGCGACGAUCUGUAGCGGGUCUGAGAGGAUGAUCCGCCACACUGGAACUGAGACACGGUCCAGACUCCUACGGGAGGCAGCAGUGGGGAAUUUUGGACAAUGGGCGCAAGCCUGAUCCAGCCAUGCCGCGUGAGUGAAGAAGGCCUUCGGGUUGUAAAGCUCUUUCGGCCGGGAAGAAAUCGCACAGGUUAAUACCCUGUGUGGAUGACGGUACCGGAAUAAGAAGCACCGGCUAACUACGUG
rnacentral:rRNA from 1 species